AUUGAACGCUGGCGGCAGGCCUAACACAUGCAAGUCGAGCGGAUGAAGGGAGCUUGCUCCUGGAUUCAGCGGCGGACGGGUGAGUAAUGCCUAGGAAUCUGCCUGGUAGUGGGGGAUAACGUCCGGAAACGGGCGCUAAUACCGCAUACGUCCUGAGGGAGAAAGUGGGGGAUCUUCGGACCUCACGCUAUCAGAUGAGCCUAGGUCGGAUUAGCUAGUUGGUGGGGUAAAGGCCUACCAAGGCGACGAUCCGUAACUGGUCUGAGAGGAUGAUCAGUCACACUGGAACUGAGGCACGGUCCAGACUCCUACGGGAGGCAGCAGUGGGGAAUAUUGGACAAUGGGCGGAAGCCUGAUCCAGCCAUGCCGCGUGUGUGAAGAAGGUCUUCGGAUUGUAAAGCACUUUAAGUUGGGAGGAAGGGCGGUAAGUUAAUACCUUGCUGUUUUGACGUUACCAACAGAAUAAGCACCGGCUAACUUCGUG
rnacentral:rRNA from 1 species